UACGAAGGGGGCUAGCGUUGCUCGGAAUCACUGGGCGUAAAGCGCACGUAGGCGGAUUGUUAAGUCAGGGGUGAAAUCCUGGAGCUCAACUCCAGAACUGCCUCCGAUACUGAGAGUCUCCGAGUCCGGGAGAGGUGAGUGGAACUGCGAGUGUAGAGGUGAAAUUCGUAGAUAUUCGCAAGAACACCAGUGGCGAAGGCGGCUCACUGGCCCGGUACUGACGCUGAGGUGCGAAAGCGUGGGGAGCAAACAGG
rnacentral:rRNA from 1 species